GAUGAACGCUAGCGGCAGGCUUAACACAUGCAAGUCGAGGGGUAUAGGGAGCUUGCUUCCUAGAGACCGGCGCACGGGUGCGUAACGCGUAUGCAAUCUACCUUUUGCAGAGGGAUAGCCCAGAGAAAUUUGGAUUAAUACCUCAUAGUAUGUGAGAAUGGCAUCAUUUUCACAUUAAAGUCACAACGGCAAAAGAUGAGCAUGCGUCCCAUUAGCUUGUUGGUAAGGUAACGGCUUACCAAGGCAACGAUGGGUAGGGGUCCUGAGAGGGAGAUCCCCCACACUGGUACUGAGACACGGACCAGACUCCUACGGGAGGCAGCAGUGAGGAAUAUUGGACAAUGGGCGGCAAGCCCUGAUCCAGCCAUGCCGCGUGCAGGAUGCCGGUCCUAUGGAUUGUAAACUGCUUUUGUACAGGAAGAAACACUGGUUCGUGAACCAGCUUGACGGUAUGUAAGAAUAAGGAU
rnacentral:rRNA from 1 species